GACUGCACCGACGCCCGCCGGCGAAGCACGUGAGCCCUGUUUGGUCACAGCGAGAGCACCGUCCUACGGGUGCUCUGCCUGGAUUCUGGGGUCCGGAGCUGGGAAACAGCAACAAAAACAGGGCCAGGUUAUUUAUUAUGCUGCCCGGACGAGAAUGAAUGGGGCCCCGCUCUCACACGGAGAAGAGCGAACGUGACGCCUCCGUCCCUGAAGACUGAGGCUCUGAUAUUAAAGGGGCAAUUAAUCACCGCGGGCCUUGGGCAGAGGGGCGUCCCGUCUGGAGAGAGGGAGGAUGGUCUGGCAGGUAAGUCACCUCGGCGAGAGGGGGCUGCACAGAGCUCAGGAGCCCCACCUUUGCUGUGCGCCCCCCCCCCUCCUGUGGGAAAAGGUCUGAAGGUCUGGUUGCCCCCUAGGCCGUGGGAGCAGCCACUUCGGAUUAAGCAGGAUCCUAAAUAAUAAAUUCUGUCCAGAGGGCCAGGUACUAGUACUUGACAAACUUGAGAGAACACGUUUAUUGAUGGUGCCAGCCCACUGAGCAGAUGAACUGAAUGAAGAACUAAUAUAGGAGCCAGGCUGGUG